CGCGCCGCCGCGACUGGGCGCGCCAUGGGCCUGAUGCCGGCCGCGCGGGCCUACUCCGGGUGCAGCGCCUGCCCGCGGCCGCCCUGCCGCCUGCCCGCCUGCUGCGCGCCCGCCGCCCCAGGGAUCUUUGGGCAGCGCCUAGAGGAAACAGUCCACCACGAGCGGAAGUAUGGCCCCCGCCUGGCGCCCCUGCUGGUGGAGCAGUGUGUGGACUUCAUCCGGGAGCGUGGGCUCACUGAGGAGGGGCUGUUCCGCAUGCCGGGCCAGGCCAACCUGGUGAGGGACCUGCAGGAUUCCUUCGACUGUGGGGAGAAGCCACUGUUUGACAGCACAACAGACGUUCACACGGUGGCCUCCCUGCUGAAGCUGUACCUGCGGGAGCUCCCCGAGCCCGUGGUCCCCUUCGCCAGGUACGAGGACUUCCUCAGCUGCGCCCAGCUGCUCACCAAGGACGAGGGGGAGGGUAC
rnacentral:sRNA from 1 species